AGAUGUGUUUGUCAUUAGAGCUCCUAGUCUUGUUUCCCUGCACCUGGACAUUCCUUUUUCAUUAGAUGCUGGGAAAUCCCUUGUGAGGGCACGAAUCUCUUUGGCCGACUUAUCUCCAAGAAGUAAUGCCAUGCUUCUUGGCAGCCUAUGCAAUGUGAUAAGUUUUGAGUUGACAGGUCUUCAAGCAAUGGGAGUGCUAGAUGAAAAAUUUGAUGAGGUUCCAAUAUUUAACAACUUGAGAACCUUGUCUAUUGACUUAUGUAUUCUUGACCUCAGCAGAAGUGAUGUGCGCAAAUUGAAGGCUCUAGGGAGAUUUCUGCAGAAAUCCCCUAAUCUGGAGAGGCUUACUUUGAAGCAUUUCAAGGUAGGGGUACUUAACGUUUAUUUACUUUGUGUAUGGGACUUCUACCAAUCUGUAUGAGUGUCGUACUUUUUACUGUCAAAAGUACUUAUAAGGUUCGAAGAGGGUGGAGGAGAAGGCCAACACCUGCUGGCUUACAUAAAUUAACUUCUUGUUUUAUUUGCGCCACAGAUAGAUGUGACACAUGAUUCAGGGUUAGUUACUGAUACUGUCAAAUUGCAACAUUGGAAUUUGACAAAUGUUAUUUGGUUGAUUUUUGCAUGACUUUAGUAACUGAAGAGAUAUGAUGCUUAUAGAGUUA